rnacentral:rRNA from 1 species
UACGUAGGGGGCGAGCGUUGUCCGGAGUUACUGGGCGUAAAGGGCAUGCAGGCGGUCGGACGCGUUUUGUGUGACAGCGGGUGGCUCAACUGCCCGAGCAUACGAAAGACGGUUUGACUUGAGGGCUCGAGGGGGACACGGAAUUCCGGGUGGAGUGGUGAAAUGCGUAGAGAUCCGGAGGAACACCGAAGGCGAAGGCAGUGUCCUGGCGAAGUGACUGACGCUGAGGUGCGAAAGCCAGGGGAGCGAACGGG